AGUGUCAGGGGCGGGCCUGGGGCCGCUAAGCGCAGGCUCCCUGGGCUGGCACCGCCCUAGGCUGGAGAAAGAGGAAACACGUUGGUCUGCGCACUCAGAGCCGAGUCAAAUGUGCAGGAAGAUUCCCCCAAACUGAAAGAAGGUCAACAGCAAAUUUGAGGCAGUGGAUAUGAGGAUAGAGGAGACACUCCUGAAGACUUCACUUUCUCCAUUUCUGUACUUGAAUUUUUACACCAAGCAUACAGCUUGAAAAAAUUAAAUGAGUAUGCAGUAUUUUAAAAAUCAACAAAAGCUUCACAUUUUAAUUUUCACUUGAAAAAAAAACAUGAGUGGUACUCAGCAGAACAACAACUAUAUCGUAUAAGCUGCAUCAGAGACAAAUGAAGAUGAAAAAACUAUCCUCCUAUAUAACUAAUCUGUGCUGUGCCCCAACAAAGCCUGCUUUAAAUUUCCGUGCCAAUUACAACCCCCAUUCUGUAUCAGGCAAGGAAGACUCCUCUACCCUUGAUUCUGGAUUGGAAAGGUCACAAGGCUUAGAUUCCACAGGAGGAGGUGAAGACAUCUGCAGAGUCUGUACUGCGAGCUGAAGCUUUAUUUGCUUGUUGGAUCCCCAAAAGGUCCAAAUCCAGUCUGCACCAAACAGGAAGGCUUGGUGCUUGGUCAUCUUGGUGGUGGUCAGCCACUCAUCAACUCCCUUUUCUUGGCAGAAAGUGAUGAAAUGGAUUAAGAAGAUCUCAUUCAGAGUAUUUGCAGCUGGGCAGAGUUUACUUGGAGGAUAUUCAAAUCCAAGGUACUCCUUCAGUUUCUGAGCUGCAUGGACUAUAGCUUCACUGACCACCUCACAGACGACGGGCACCUCUUUGCUGUCCUUCAGAGCCAACUGUUGCGAUGCUUUCUGCCCCAUUUUCUCUGCAUCCAAAUAUCAAACAUGUGAAUCUGGUUCAGACGUACUUCUUUUUCAAAGUAAAAGUUCUGCAGGGAGGCCACAUCUGUUAAUGGUUCAUGUUUUUCUAACUCUACAGCUUCCUCGGGUGUAGUUAAGCAUAUAUACAUACAGCUAAAUAAACAUGUUAGUUCUC
ensembl:lncRNA MRPS35-DT MRPS35 divergent transcript